GAAGGAGGGACGGAGAAGGUUAGGUAGGCCUGGCGAAUGGUUGUCCAGGUGAAAUGAUGUAGGUAGGAAUGCUAGGCAAAUCCGGUGUUCUGUUGAUCUGAGAUACGAGACGAAGUUAUACUUGUUUGACGAAGCUAUUGAUACCAUGCUUCCAGGAAAAGCUUCUAAGUAUAUUGUAUACGUGACCGUACUGUAAACCGACACUGGUGGGUAGGUAGAGAAUACUAAGGC
rnacentral:rRNA from 1 species